GCCGGGCGCGGUGGCGCACGCCUGUAGUCCCAGCUACUCGGGAGGCUGAGACAGGAGGAUCGCUUGAGUCCAGGAGUUCUGGGCUGUAGUGCGCUAUGCCGAUCAGGUGUCCGCACUAAGUUCGGCAUCAAUAUGGUGACUUCUCAGGAGUGGGGAACCACCAGGUUGCCUAAGGAGGGGUGGACCGGCCCAGGUCGGAAAUGUGCAUUACUUAAAUUUUUUUCCUGUAUAAGCAUGGGCAAAACCCAAAAUCUUUAAAUCUGCAUAUUUCCCAUGAAAAUGAAUUGUAUAAAAGAAGC
rnacentral:lncRNA from 1 species